UUGUUGGUUACGGCGAAACAGCGACGACUGACGGCUGCUCAGCUGAGCUCGCGAGUGUUGUUGAGUGUUAUGCGCGUAUUCCUUGGCUUCGGCGACAAUUUCGGCUUUCAGUGGAAGACCGAACUUGGAAACCUUCGGAACCGUAUGCGUUAUAUAGUGGUGUGUCGAGAAACGACCGAGGCAGACGAGGGGAUCAGACGAUAUAUGGUCGGGGAAUCGACACCGUGCGCGGCUCUGUGGCGCACGCCAGCUUUUAUCGAUUCCCCAGAGACGACGGACUCGAUACUCAUAUACGACGGGUCUGAAAGAAGGGGUCCACUGUCCACUCCGGAGACGCAAGGUUUGCGCGCAGGUGGAAAGGUGAAGCCCGGAGGUGCAGGCAGGCGCUGACGAGAUUGCGAGCAAAAGCAAUAUUAAUAAAAAAUGCUACAGAAAUUGAUAA